GCCCCUGUAGCUCAAUCGGGAGAGCGCCGGCUUGUCAGGUCGGAGGUAGUCAGAUCGAAACUGAUCAGGGGCGCCA
rnacentral:tRNA from 1 species